rnacentral:rRNA from 1 species
GACGAACGCUGGCGGCGUGCUUAACACAUGCAAGUCGAACGGAAACGCCCUGAUUGCUGGGUCCUCGAGUGGGCAACGGGCGGGUAAGAGGUGGAUGCAUCGCCCUGCACUUCGGGGUAGGCCUGGGAGACUGGGUAUAUACCCUGAUAGCACCUAUGUCCUGCGGGUUGGUUCGAAAGUUUUUUGGGUGUUGGGUGAGCUCGCGGCCUAUCAGCUUGUUAGGGGGGUAAUGGGCUAACAAGCCGCCGACGGGUAGCCGGCCUGAGGGAGUGGACGGCCACACUGGGUCUGAGAGACGGCACAGACGCCUACGGGAGGCAGAAGGGGGGAAGAUUGCACAAGGGGCGCAAGGUUGAUGCAGCGGCGCCGCGGGUUGGAUAGCGGCCUUGGGGUUGUAGACUACUUGCGCGAGGGACGAAGCUUGUUGUGACGGUACCUAGAGAAGAAGCACCGGCUAACUACGUG